rnacentral:rRNA from 1 species
UACAGAGGGGGCAAGCGUUGUUCGGAAUUACUGGGCGUAAAGGGCGCGUAGGCGGCCGCCUAAGUCAGACGUGAAAUCCCCCGGCUUAACCUGGGAACUGCGUCUGAUACUGGACGGCUUGAGUAUGGGAGAGGGAUGUAGAAUUCCAGGUGUAGCGGUGAAAUGCGUAGAUAUCUGGAGGAAUACCGGUGGCGAAGGCGGCAUCCUGGACCAUUACUGACGCUGAGGCGCGAAAGCUAGGGGAGCAAACGGG